rnacentral:tRNA from 1 species
GCAGGCAUAGUUUAACCCAAACAGACUGUGAUUCUAAAAAUAGAAGUUAAACCCUUCUUGCCCGCC